rnacentral:rRNA from 1 species
ACGAACGCUGGCGGCAUGCCUAACACAUGCAAGUCGAACGAGACCUUCGGGUCUAGUGGCGCACGGGUGCGUAACGCGUGGGAACCUGCCCUUAGGUUCGGAAUAACUCCCCGAAAGGGGUGCUAAUACCGGAUAAUGUCUUCGGACCAAAGAUUUAUCGCCUUUGGAUGGGCCCGCGUUGGAUUAGCUAGUUGGUAGGGUAAAAGCCUACCAAGGCGACGAUCCAUAGCUGGUCUGAGAGGAUGACCAGCCACACUGGGACUGAGACACGGCCCAGACUCCUACGGGAGGCAGCAGUGGGGAAUAUUGGACAAUGGGCGAAAGCCUGAUCCAGCAAUGCCGCGUGAGUGAUGAAGGCCUUAGGGUUGUAAAGCUCUUUUACCCGGGAUGAUAAUGACAGUACCGGGAGAAUAAGCUCCGGCUAACUCCGUG